rnacentral:rRNA from 1 species
UUGCAUUUUUAAAUGUAUGUAAUUAAAGAUGGGGAUCUUUUAGACCUAUCACCAAAAGAUGAGCCUGCGUCCCAUUAGCUUGUUGGUAGGGUAAUGGCCUACCAAGGCGACGAUGGGUAGCCGGCCUGAGAGGGUGAACGGCCACAUUGGGACUGAGAUACGGCCCAGACUCCUACGGGAGGCAGCAGUUAAGAAUCUUGGACAAUGGACGCAAGUCUGAUCCAGCGACGCCGCGUGAAUGAUGAAUGUCUUCGGAUUGUAAAGUUCACUAAGCAGAGGCGAAUAAGUAAGAGGUAAUAUUUCUUGCGAUGACGGUAUCUGCCUAAAGCCUCGGCUAAAUACGUGCCAGCAGCCGCGGUAAUACGUAUGAGGCAAGCGUUGUUCGGAAUUAUUGGGCAUAAAGGGCAUCUAGGCGGGGUAUUAAGUCGGGUGUGAAAUCUGAAGGCUCAACCUUCAAACUGCAUCCGAUACUGGUACUCUUGAGUUAGGGAGAGGAAAGCGGAAUUCCUGGUGUAGCGGUGAAAUGCGUAGAUAUCAGGAAGAACACCGGUGGCGAAGGCGGCUUUCUGGCCUAUAACUGACGCUGAAGUGCGAAAGCGUGGGGAGCGAACGGGAUUAGAUACCCCGGUAGUCCACGCCGUAAACGUUGUAUACUAGGUGUUAGAGCGUCAAGCUCUAGUGCCGUCGCUAACGCAUUAAGUAUACCGCCUGGGGAGUACGCCCGCAAGGGUGAAACUCAAAGAAAUUGACGGGGGCCCGCACAAGCGGUGGAGCAUGUGGUUUAAUUCGAUGAUACGCGAGAAACCUUACCUGGGCUUGAACUGUAGGUGACAGGUGUAGAGAUACACCCUUCUUCGGACACCUAUAGAGGUGCUGCAUGGUUGUCGUCAGCUCGUGUCGUGAGAUGUUGGGUUAAGUCCCGCAACGAGCGCAACCCCUACCGUCUGUUGCUACCGGGUAAUGCCGGGCACUCUGACGGAACUGCCGGUGACAAACCGGAGGAAGGUGGGGAUGACGUCAAAUCAUCACGGCCCUUACGUCCAGGGCUACACACGUGCUACAAUGGUCGGUACAAAGGGUUGCGAAAUCGCGAGAUGGAGCCAAUCUCAAAAAACCGAUCUCAGUUCGGAUUGGAGUCCGCAACUCGACUCUAUGAAGCUGGAAUCGCUAG